CUAAGAUCCUCCUGUACCUGUGCAGUAUGGCCAAAAAUAAUUUUUUGAAAUAAAUAAAAGUCCAAAUUCUAACAACAGGAAGGCAUCAUCAUCUAACAACAGGAAGAAACAUCAUCAGGAUGGAGAAAUAUCACAAAUACACCAACACGGCAGACUUGAUAUUCUUAAAGAGGCAGUUUAAACCUGGAGGCCAAUCAAGAGAUCAUGUGGCAAGCUGUCACCUCUCUUAGCAGACAGUCCUUGUUGGAUCUCCACCUCAAAGAGUAAUCAAGGACAGGGCGUGUGGCACAGCUGCCCGAUAAGCCUCUGUGUGUCUUGGAUUUACAGAGAAAAGUCAUCAAUAAGGAUAAAAGCUGGAUGGAGUAAAGAUCAGACCCCAGAAAAAAGAACUUCAUAUGAGUUCUGGAGGCUGCAGGGAGCCAUCAGAGGCUUUGGAGCAGAGCUCCACACACAGUUUGAACUGUGAUUUAGAAAAAGUAACUGGGCAGUAACGACAAUGAGAAAGACGCUCUAGAAAUAACAUCGAUGGAAACCAUGGUGACCAAGGUGAGGAAGGAGUCAAAAAGUUGGCAGCACUCACAUCUCUGAGAUCAUCCGAAUGGAAUGCAGCAGGUGAAGUCAAAGGUCUGGAACACUGAGGAAGACAGAAGAAUCUGAACAACGGCUCUGAGAAUGGACAGAGAUUAGAGGCCAUCAAGGAGAAACCGGCCUGGAAGCCCAGGGUA